GGUGCGGACCCAAAAAAGGGGUCCUGUGCGAGUUUGGUCCAAAUGCAAUGCAAGUAUGAUAAUAACACCAGUAUUACCAUACCAUACUACACACAUUACAACAGAGUACUGGUAAAUUUACACACCCAAUACUACCUUACUCUUUUUAUUUAAAUUUAGGCAAAAAGAAUACCACUGGUAUCCCUAAUGGAAUAAAAAAAAAGCGUGGAGCAUAUACAGCUGGUUUCAAGUUAAAGGUUGUGGAAUAUGCCAAACAACAUGGAAAUAGGGCUGCAGCAAGGCAUUUUGGAGAGCCCCCAACAGAAAGCACAAUACGAGAUUGGCGAAAAAUGGAAGAAAAACUCAAGACAUUAUUAAAAACAAAAUGCAAUUUUCGCAGCGGUAUUGUUAAAUGGCCAA